rnacentral:lncRNA from 1 species
UUCUUCUCAAACUUCUUUCUCUCUCUAGAUGGUGGGUGACCCUAGAAGGUCCCUCUCUUGCAACACAUGUUGUCCUUGGUAAUGGGGUCCUAACCUUUGGCCAAUAGGCAACGUCCAUCCUAGUUCUUAAUAGACACCACUAGAUUUGAUUAUCCUUAAUCUCUAUUAAGCCAUAUAUACCCCAAUUUAACCUUUGAUCAAAU